UGGGUUGUGGCUCAGUGGUAGAGCACUUGCCUAGCACGUGAAAGGCUCUGGGUUCAAUCCUCAGCACCACAU
rfam:Ictidomys tridecemlineatus contig120854, whole genome shotgun sequence.